GACGAACGCUGGCGGCAUGCCUAAUACAUGCAAGUCGAGCGAACAGAUGGAGUGCUUGCACUUCUGACGUCAGCGGCGAACGGGUGAGUAACACGUAAGGAAUCUACCUAUAAGCGGGGGAUAACAUUCGGAAACGGGUGCUAAUACCGCAUAAUAUCUUCUUCCGCAUGGAAGAAGAUUGAAAGACGGCUCUGCUGUCACUUAUAGAUGACCUUGCGGUGCAUUAGUUAGUUGGUGGGGUAACGGCCUACCAAGACGAUGAUGAAUAGCCGACCUGAGAGGGUGAUCGGCCACAUUGGGACUGAGACACGGCCCAAACUCCUACGGGAGGCAGCAGUAGGGAAUCUUCCGCAAUGGGCGAAAGCCUGACGGAGCAAUGCCGCGUGAGUGAAGAAGGCCUUCGGGUCGUAAAACUCUGUUAUAAGAGAAGAACAAAUUGUAGAGUAACUGCUACAGUCUUGACGGUAUCUUAUCAGAAAGCCACGGCUAACUACGUGCCAGCCGCCGCCGUAA
rnacentral:rRNA from 1 species